GACGAACGCUGGCGGCGUGCCUAAUACAUGCAAGUAGAACGCUGAAGGAGGAGCUUGCUCUUCUGGAUGAGUUGCGAACGGGUGAGUAACGCGUAGGUAACCUGCCUGGUAGUGGGGGAUAACUAUUGGAAACGAUAGCUAAUACCGCAUAAUAACAGUUGUUGCAUGACAACUGUUUGAAAGGUGCAAUUGCAUCACUACCAGAUGGACCUGCGUUGUAUUAGCUAGUUGGUGGGGUAACGGCUCACCAAGGCGACGAUACAUAGCCGACCUGAGAGGGUGAUCGGCCACACUGGGACUGAGACACGGCCCAGACUCCUACGGGAGGCAGCAGUAGGGAAUCUUCGGCAAUGGACGAAAGUCUGACCGAGCAACGCCGCGUGAGUGAAGAAGGUUUUCGGAUCGUAAAGCUCUGUUGUAAGAUAAGAACGAGUGUGAGAGUGGAAAGUUCACA
rnacentral:rRNA from 1 species